rnacentral:rRNA from 1 species
CGACCGGCGCACGGUGAGUAACACGUAUGCAAUCCACCUGUAACAGGGGGAUAACCCGGAGAAAUCCGGACUAAUACCCCAUAAUAUGGGCUCUCCGCAUGGAGGGUCCAUUAAAGAGAGCAAUUUUGGUUACAGACGAGCAUGCGCUCCAUUAGCCAGUUGGCGGGGUAACGGCCCACCAAAGCGACGAUGGAUAGGGGUUCUGAGAGGAAGGUCCCCCACAUUGGAACUGAGACACGGUCCAA